rnacentral:rRNA from 1 species
UACGUAGGGGGCAAGCGUUAGGCGGAAUCACUGGGCUUAAAGCGUGUGUAGGCGGAUUUGUAAGUACCUUGUGAAAUCCCAUGGCUCAACCAUGGAACUGCUCGGUAUACUGCGAAUCUUGAGCCACUUAGGGGCUACCGGAACAAAUGGUGGAGCGGUGAAAUGCGUAGAUAUCAUUUGGAACGCCAAUGGUGAAAACAGGUAGCUGGGAGUGUGCUGACGCUGAGACACGAAAGCCAGGGGAGCGAACGGG